rnacentral:rRNA from 1 species
UUAAGCGACUAAGCGUACACGGUGGAUGCCCUGGCAGUCAGAGGCGAUGAAGGACGUGCUAAUCUGCGAUAAGCGUCGGUGAGGUGAUAUGAACCGUUAUAACCGGCGAUUUCCGAAUGGGGAAACCCAGUGUGUUUCGACACACUAUCAUUAACUGAAUCCAUAAGUUAAUGAGGCGAACCGGGGGAACUGAAACAUCUAAGUACCCCGAGGAAAAGAAAUCAACCGAGAUUCCCCCAGUAGCGGCGAGCGAACGGGGAGGAGCCCAGAGCCUGAAUCAGUGUGUGUGUUAGUGGAAGCGUCUGGAAAGGCGCGCGAUACAGGGUGACAGCCCCGUACACAAAAAUGCACAUGCUGUGAGCUCGAUGAGUAGGGCGGGACACGUGGUAUCCUGUCUGAAUAUGGGGGGACCAUCCUCCAAGGCUAAAUACUCCUGACUGACCGAUAGUGAACCAGUACCGUGAGGGAAAGGCGAAAAGAACCCCGGCGAGGGGAGUGAAAAAGAACCUGAAACCGUGUACGUACAAGCAGUGGGAGCCUCUUAAUGGGGUGACUGCGUACCUUUUGUAUAAUGGGUCAGCGACUUAUAUUCUGUAGCAAGGUUAACCGAAUAGGGGAGCCGAAGGGAAACCGAGUCUUAACUGGGCGUUAAGUUGCAGGGUAUAGACCCGAAACCCGGUGAUCUAGCCAUGGGCAGGUUGAAGGUUGGGUAACACUAACUGGAGGACCGAACCGACUAAUGUUGAAAAAUUAGCGGAUGACUUGUGGCUGGGGGUGAAAGGCCAAUCAAACCGGGAGAUAGCUGGUUCUCCCCGAAAGCUAUUUAGGUAGCGCCUCGUGAAUUCAUCUCCGGGGGUAGAGCACUGUUUCGGCAAGGGGGUCAUCCCGACUUACCAACCCGAUGCAAACUGCGAAUACCGGAGAAUGUUAUCACGGGAGACACACGGCGGGUGCUAACGUCCGUCGUGAAGAGGGAAACAACCCAGACCGCCAGCUAAGGUCCCAAAGUCAUGGUUAAGUGGGAAACGAUGUGGGAAGGCCCAGACAGCCAGGAUGUUGGCUUAGAAGCAGCCAUCAUUUAAAGAAAGCGUAAUAGCUCACUGGUCGAGUCGGCCUGCGCGGAAGAUGUAACGGGGCUAAACCAUGCACCGAAGCUGCGGCAGCGACACUAUGUGUUGUUGGGUAGGGGAGCGUUCUGUAAGCCUGUGAAGGUGGCCUGUGAGGGUUGCUGGAGGUAUCAGAAGUGCGAAUGCUGACAUAAGUAACGAUAAAGCGGGUGAAAAGCCCGCUCGCCGGAAGACCAAGGGUUCCUGUCCAACGUUAAUCGGGGCAGGGUGAGUCGACCCCUAAGGCGAGGCCGAAAGGCGUAGUCGAUGGGAAACAGGUUAAUAUUCCUGUACUUGGUGUUACUGCGAAGGGGGGACGGAGAAGGCUAUGUUGGCCGGGCGACGGUUGUCCCGGUUUAAGCGUGUAGGCUGGUUUUCCAGGCAAAUCCGGAAAACCAAGGCUGAGGCGUGAUGACGAGGCACUACGGUGCUGAAGCGACAAAUGCCCUGCUUCCAGGAAAAGCCUCUAAGCAUCAGGUAACAUCAAAUCGUACCCCAAACCGACACAGGUGGUCAGGUAGAGAAUACCAAGGCGCUUGAGAGAACUCGGGUGAAGGAACUAGGCAAAAUGGUGCCGUAACUUCGGGAGAAGGCACGCUGAUAUGUAGGUGAAGCGACUUGCUCGUGGAGCUGAAAUCAGUCGAAGAUACCAGCUGGCUGCAACUGUUUAUUAAAAACACAGCACUGUGCAAACACGAAAGUGGACGUAUACGGUGUGACGCCUGCCCGGUGCCGGAAGGUUAAUUGAUGGGGUUAGCGGUAACGCGAAGCUCUUGAUCGAAGCCCCGGUAAACGGCGGCCGUAACUAUAACGGUCCUAAGGUAGCGAAAUUCCUUGUCGGGUAAGUUCCGACCUGCACGAAUGGCGUAAUGAUGGCCAGGCUGUCUCCACCCGAGACUCAGUGAAAUUGAACUCGCUGUGAAGAUGCAGUGUACCCGCGGCAAGACGGAAAGACCCCGUGAACCUUUACUAUAGCUUGACACUGAACAUUGAGCCUUGAUGUGUAGGAUAGGUGGGAGGCUUUGAAGUGUGGACGCCAGUCUGCAUGGAGCCGACCUUGAAAUACCACCCUUUAAUGUUUGAUGUUCUAACGUGGGCCCCUUACCGGGGUUGCGGACAGUGUCUGGUGGGUAGUUUGACUGGGGCGGUCUCCUCCUAAAGAGUAACGGAGGAGCACGAAGGUUGGCUAAUCCUGGUCGGACAUCAGGAGGUUAGUGCAAUGGCAUAAGCCAGCUUGACUGCGAGCGUGACGGCGCGAGCAGGUGCGAAAGCAGGUCAUAGUGAUCCGGUGGUUCUGAAUGGAAGGGCCAUCGCUCAACGGAUAAAAGGUACUCCGGGGAUAACAGGCUGAUACCGCCCAAGAGUUCAUAUCGACGGCGGUGUUUGGCACCUCGAUGUCGGCUCAUCACAUCCUGGGGCUGAAGUAGGUCCCAAGGGUAUGGCUGUUCGCCAUUUAAAGUGGUACGCGAGCUGGGUUUAGAACGUCGUGAGACAGUUCGGUCCCUAUCUGCCGUGGGCGCUGGAGAACUGAGGGGGGCUGCUCCUAGUACGAGAGGACCGGAGUGGACGCAUCACUGGUGUUCGGGUUGUCAUGCCAAUGGCACUGCCCGGUAGCUAAAUGCGGAAGAGAUAAGUGCUGAAAGCAUCUAAGCACGAAACUUGCCCCGAGAUGAGUUCUCCCUGACUCCUUGAGGGUCCUGAAGGAACGUUGAAGACGACGACGUUGAUAGGCCGGGUGUGUAAGCGCAGCGAUGCGUUGAGCUAACCGGUACUAAUGAACCGUGAGGCUUAACCUU